GAACAUGUGGUUUAUUCGAUGCAACGCGAAGAACCUUACCUACUCUUGACAUCCAGAGAACUUUCCAGAGAUGGAUUGGUGCCUUCGGGAACUCUGAGACAGGUGCUGCAUGGCUGUCGUCAGCUCGUGUUGUGAAAUGUUGGGUUAAGUCCCGCAACGAGCGCAACCCUUAUCCUUUGUUGCCAGCGGUCAGGCCGGGAACUCAAAGGAGACUGCCAGUGAUAAACUGGAGGAAGGUGGGGAUGACGUCAAGUCAUUUUGGUUCUUACCAGUAGGGCUACACACGUGCUACAAUGGCGCAUACAAAGAGAAGCGACCUCGCGAGAGCAAGCGGACCUCAUAAAGUGCGUCGUAGUCCGGAUUGGAGUCUGCAACUCGACUCCAUGAAGUCGGAAUCGCUAGUAAUCGUGGAUCAGAAUGCCACGGUGAAUACGUUCCCGGGCCUUGUACACACCGCCCGUCACACCAUGGGAGUGGGUU
rnacentral:rRNA from 1 species